rnacentral:lncRNA from 1 species
CGCAAGUCUAUUCUGCACAGACUCCAGUCAGCCAUGUUGGUUCCCGCGAGUCUCAGCUCAUGGGCGAAUUUUGUUGCAGAUGGAAGAAGCAGGGCUCAAUCACCAUCGACACGGUUUCCAGUUCUCCACUUCCUCCCAGUUCCUUGAUGUGUCAAUCCAGAUAUCUGGCAUAUGCAACUUCCUCCUGGUGAACACCUCCAUAUGGAACAUCCAGAUACAACCUUCUUGACUCAUCCCACUGACUCACCCCACAUGGACCGUGCAGAUAUGCCACAGUAGCCACCUCUCAGUCACAGCAUGACUUCUGGAACUUGUGCCUGCUUGCUUCAAACCCACCGAUUAAAACUUCCUGCAGGAAAUCUGUAUAGAGAAUGCCCUAGACUCCAAUAAAGACUGGAAACACUCUUUUUGUAGAAUCUGCGAAGGGACAUUUUGGAGCCCAUUGAAGCCUAUAGUGAAAAACCGAAUAUUCUACGAUAGAAACCAUGGAGGCCUAUAGUGAAAAACUGAAUAUCCCAUGAUAAAAAACAGAAAGAAGCUAUCUGCGAAACCACUUUGCGAUGUGUGGAUUCAUCUCACAGAGUUAAACCUUUCUUCUGAUUCAGCAGACUGGAAACACUCUUUUUGUAGAAUCUGUGAGGGGACAUUUCGGAGCCCAUUGAGGCCUAUAGUGAAAAACCGAAUAUCCUGAGAUAAAAACUAGAAAGAAGCUAUCUGUGAGACCGCUUUGCGAUGUAUGAAUUCAUCUCACAGAGUUAAACCUUUCUUCUGAUUCAGCAGACUGGAAACACUCUUUUUGUAGAAUCUGUGACGGGACAUUUCGGAGCCCAUUGAGACCUGUAGUGAAAAACCGAAUAUCCCACAAUAAAAACUAGAAAGAAGUUAUCUGUGAAACCGCUUUGCGAUGUUUGUUUUUAAAAUCCUCCUCUUCCCACUAGAAUGUAAGCUUCAGAAGAACAGGCUAUUCAUUCUGCCCACUGUGUGCACCCAGCCUGGAACGGUGCCCAGAGUGGGUUAGUGUGCGGUGUGCACGUACUGACCUGGUGGUGAUGAAGGGCGCAGGAAGGACACGCGACCUGAUCUUUAUCCUAAGGAGCCCACACUGGAACAGGAUUAGAUUGAAGGUAG